rnacentral:lncRNA from 1 species
CAGCCUGCAAUAAGCUGGGCCCCGUCUUGCAUGUCGCUAGUUGGUGCGCGCAAAGGGAGCCAGGAACCAGCUUAAGCCUGCAAUGACGGACUUUACCGAGACGUGACGGAAUCGUUUCUGUGACGUCACAAUCGCAAGGCCGCCAUUGCCUGAGUAGCAACCAGUUUCGCAUCAGUUGACCGCAUAAGCUCUGCCCAAAUUGUCUUUUCUCUGCGUUUCCAAGUAUGAACGAGAUCCAUCUACCCGAUUUUCAUCAUCUCCAGAACGACGGGGAACUCUUGAACCCUUCUCGUUUCUGGGUGGACAUAAUGAAGUCCCGGGUAGGCAUCAGCAAUUCAUACGCCGAAAAGCUGCUCGACUGGUGUCAGGAUUGUAGGACUAAGCUUGGCACUGUCAGUCAAGAUGCUUGUUCCGAGAGUUAUGAGAUU